rnacentral:rRNA from 1 species
GACGAACGCUGGCGGCGUGCUUAACACAUGCAAGUCGAACGGAAAGGCCCUGCUUGCAGGGUACUCGAGUGGCGAACGGGUGAGUAACACGUGGGUGAUCUGCCCUGCACUUCGGGAUAAGCCUGGGAAACUGGGUCUAAUACCGGAUAGGAGCCAUUUUUAGUGUGAUGGUUGGAAAGUUUUUUCGGUGUAGGACGAGCUCGCGGCCUAUCAGCUUGUUGGUGGGGUAAUGGCCUACCAAGGCGGCGACGGGUAGCCGGCCUGAGAGGGUGGACGGCCACAUUGGGACUGAGAUACGGCCCAGACUCCGACGGGAGGCAGCAGUGGGGAAUAUUGCACAAGGGGCGCAAGCCGGAUGCAGCGACGCCGCGUGGGGGAUGACGGCCUUCGGGUUGUAAACUCCUUUCGCUAGGGACGAAGCUUUUUGUGACGGUACCUAGAUAAGAAGCACCGGCUAACUACGUG